rnacentral:rRNA from 1 species
CAAUAGCGUAUAUUUAAGUUGUUGCAGUUAAAAAGCUCGUAGUCGGAUUUUGGCUGAGAACGAUCGGUCCGCCGUUAGGUGUGCACUGAUUGGUCUCAGCUUCCUGGUGAGGAGGUGUGCUUCACGGCCACUUAGUCACCGUGGUUACUUUGAAAAAAUUAGAGUGUUCAAAGCGGGCUUACGCUUGAAUAUAUUAGCAUGGAAUAACACCAUAGGACUCCUGUCCUAUUUCGUUGGUCACGGGACGGGAGUAAUGAUUAAGAGGAACAGUUGGGGGCAUUCGUAUUUCAUUGUCAGAGGUGAAAUUCUUGGAUUUAUGAAAGACGAACUUCUGCGAAAGCAUUUGCCAAGGAUGUUCUCAUUGA